rnacentral:rRNA from 1 species
GAAAUAAACCUGAUAAGUUGCUGCUGGUUCUCUAAGGAGCAUGUGCACACUUGUCAUCUUUGUAUCUUCACCUGUGCACCUUUUGUAGACCUGAGUAUCUCUCUGAAUGUUUUAGCACUCAGGAUUGAGGAUUGACUUUCUGUCUCUUCUUUACAAUUUCAGGUCUAUGUUUCUUCAUAUACCCUAAUGUAUGUUUAUAGAAUGUAAUUAAUGGGCCUUUGUGCCUAUAAAUCUAUACAACUUUCAGCAAYGGAUCUCUUGGCUCUCGCAUCGAUGAAGAACGCAGCGAAAUGCGAUAAGUAAUGUGAAUUGCAGAAUUCAGUGAAUCAUCGAAUCUUUGAACGCACCUUGCGCUCCUUGGUAUUCCGAGGAGCAUGCCUGUUUGAGUGUCAUUAAUAUAUCAACCUUCUUUGGUUGGAUGUGGGUUUGCUGGCCUCUUGAGGUCAGCUCCCCUUAAAUGCAUUAGCGGACAACAUUUUGCCAACCGUUCAUUGGUGUGAUAAUUAUCUACGCUAUUGACGUGAAGCAAGGUUCAGCUUCUAACAGUCCAUUGACUUGGAUAAAUUCAUUUUAUUAAUGUGACCUCAAAUCAGGUAGGACUACCCGCUGAACUUAAGCAUAUCAAUAAGCGGAGGAAAAGAAACUAACAAGGAUUCCCCUAGUAACUGCGAGUGAAGCGGGAAAAGCUCAAAUUUAAAAUCUGGCAGUCUUUGGCUGUCCGAGUUGUAAUCUAGAGAAGCAUUAUCCGCGCUGGACCGUGUACAAGUCUUCUGGAAUGGAGCGUCAUAG